AUGAACGCUAGCUACAGGCUUAACACAUGCAAGUCGAGGGGCAUCAGGAAGAAAGCUUGCUUUCUUUGCUGGCGACCGGCGCACGGGUGAGUAACACGUAUCCAACCUGCCCUUUACUCGGGGAUAGCCUUUCGAAAGAAAGAUUAAUACCCGAUGGCAUAAUGAUUCCGCAUGGUUUCAUUAUUAAAGGAUUCCGGUAAAGGAUGGGGAUGCGUUCCAUUAGGUUGUUGGUGAGGUAACGGCUCACCAAGCCUUCGAUGGAUAGGGGUUCUGAGAGGAAGGUCCCCCACAUUGGAACUGAGACACGGUCCAAACUCCUACGGGAGGCAGCAGUGAGGAAUAUUGGUCAAUGGGCGCUAGCCUGAACCAGCCAAGUAGCGUGAAGGAUGAAGGCUCUAUGGGUCGUAAACUUCUUUUAUAUAAGAAUAAAGUGCAGUAUGUAUACUGUUUUGUAUGUAUUAUAUGAAUAAGGAUCGGCUAACUCCGUGCCAGCAGCCGCGGUAAUACGGAGGAUCCGAGCGUUAUCCGGAUUUAUUGGGUUUAAAGGGAGCGUAGGUGGACUGGUAAGUCAGUUGUGAAAGUUUGCGGCUCAACCGUAAAAUUGCAGUUGAUACUGUCAGUCUUGAGUACAGUAGAGGUGGGCGGAAUUCGUGGUGUAGCGGUGAAAUGCUUAGAUAUCACGAAGAACUCCGAUUGCGAAGGCAGCUCACUGGACUGCAACUGACACUGAUGCUCGAAAGUGUGGGUAUCAAACAGGAUUAGAUACCCUGGUAGUCCACACAGUAAACGAUGAAUACUCGCUGUUUGCGAUAUACAGUAAGCGGCCAAGCGAAAGCAUUAAGUAUUCCACCUGGGGAGUACGCCGGCAACGGUGAAACUCAAAGGAAUUGACGGGGGCCCGCACAAGCGGAGGAACAUGUGGUUUAAUUCGAUGAUACGCGAGGAACCUUACCCGGGCUCAAAUUGCAGUGGAAUGAUGUGGAAACAUGUCAGUGAGCAAUCACCGCUGUGAAGGUGCUGCAUGGUUGUCGUCAGCUCGUGCCGUGAGGUGUCGGCUUAAGUGCCAUAACGAGCGCAACCCUUAUCUUUAGUUACUAACAGGUUAUGCUGAGGACUCUAGAGAGACUGCCGUCGUAAGAUGUGAGGAAGGUGGGGAUGACGUCAAAUCAGCACGGCCCUUACGUCCGGGGCUACACACGUGUUACAAUGGGGGGUACAGAAGGCAGCUAGCGGGUGACCGUAUGCUAAUCCCAAAAGCCUCUCUCAGUUCGGAUCGAAGUCUGCAACCCGACUUCGUGAAGCUGGAUUCGCUAGUAAUCGCGCAUCAGCCACGGCGCGGUGAAUACGUUCCCGGGCCUUGUACACACCGCCCGUCAAGCCAUGGGAGCCGGGGGUACCUGAAGUACGUAACCGCAAGGAUCGUCCUAGGGUAAAACUGGUGACUGGGGC
rnacentral:rRNA from 1 species